GCUCCUCAAUAGUCAUGUGGUUAUGAUAACAUAUGCUUCAUAUUCUUCAGCCAACCGUCAACAAAAGGUUGUGGUCCAAAUCUCAAUGGAGAUAAUAUAAAUUUGUACUGUUGAUUGUCUCAACAAACUUGGUUGGUUCAUUAAUCCGUAUGAAGUAAUUCAUCUCAUGGAGUUCGAGACAAGGGAGGGCAAAGGGAAAAAAAUCAUAGACAUGCAUGCUACUAGCAAGAGGAUAGAUGAAGACAUUAUUGAAAGUAAAAAAGUGUUGAACUUCUUAUCACAAAAAA